GGACGAACGCUGGCGGCGUGCCUAAUACAUGCAAGUCGAACGAACUCUGGUAUUGAUUGGUGCUUGCAUCAUGAUUUACAUUUGAGUGAGUGGCGAACUGGUGAGUAACACGUGGGCAACCUGCCCAGAAGCGGGGGAUAACACCUGGAAACAGAUGCUAAUACCGCAUAACAACUUGGACCGCAUGGUCCGAGUUUGAAAGAUGGCUUCGGCUAUCACUUUUGGAUGGUCCCGCGGCGUAUUAGCUAGAUGGUGGGGUAACGGCUCACCAUGGCAAUGAUACGUAGCCGACCUGAGAGGGUAAUCGGCCACAUUGGGACUGAGACACGGCCCAAACUCCUACGGGAGGCAGCAGUAGGGAAUCUUCCACAAUGGACGAAAGUCUGAUGGAGCAACGCCGCGUGAGUGAAGAAGGGUUUCGGCUCGUAAAACUCUGUUGUUAAAGAAGAACAUAUCUGAGAGUAACUGUUCAGGUAUUGACGGUAUUUAACCAGAAAGCCACGGCUAACUACGUGCCAGCAGCCGCGGUAAUACGUAGGUGGCAAGCGUUGUCCGGAUUUAUUGGGCGUAAAGCGAGCGCAGGCGGUUUUUUAAGUCUGAUGUGAAAGCCUUCGGCUCAACCGAAGAAGUGCAUCGGAAACUGGGAAACUUGAGUGCAGAAGAGGACAGUGGAACUCCAUGUGUAGCGGUGAAAUGCGUAGAUAUAUGGAAGAACACCAGUGGCGAAGGCGGCUGUCUGGUCUGUAACUGACGCUGAGGCUCGAAAGUAUGGGUAGCAAACAGGAUUAGAUACCCUGGUAGUCCAUACCGUAAACGAUGAAUGCUAAGUGUUGGAGGGUUUCCGCCCUUCAGUGCUGCAGCUAACGCAUUAAGCAUUCCGCCUGGGGAGUACGGCCGCAAGGCUGAAACUCAAAGGAAUUGACGGGGGCCCGCACAAGCGGUGGAGCAUGUGGUUUAAUUCGAAGCUACGCGAAGAACCUUACCAGGUCUUGACAUACUAUGCAAAUCUAAGAGAUUAGACGUUCCCUUCGGGGACAUGGAUACAGGUGGUGCAUGGUUGUCGUCAGCUCGUGUCGUGAGAUGUUGGGUUAAGUCCCGCAACGAGCGCAACCCUUAUUAUCAGUUGCCAGCAUUAAGUUGGGCACUCUGGUGAGACUGCCGGUGACAAACCGGAGGAAGGUGGGGAUGACGUCAAAUCAUCAUGCCCCUUAUGACCUGGGCUACACACGUGCUACAAUGGAUGGUACAACGAGUUGCGAACUCGCGAGAGUAAGCUAAUCUCUUAAAGCCAUUCUCAGUUCGGAUUGUAGGCUGCAACUCGCCUACAUGAAGUCGGAAUCGCUAGUAAUCGCGGAUCAGCAUGCCGCGGUGAAUACGUUCCCGGGCCUUGUACACACCGCCCGUCACACCAUGAGAGUUUGUAACACCCAAAGUCGGUGGGGUAACCUUUUAGGAACCAGCCGCCUAAGGUGGGACAGAUGAUUAGGGUG
rnacentral:rRNA from 1 species